rnacentral:rRNA from 1 species
GAUGAACGCUAGCUACAGGCCUAACACAUGCAAGUCGCGGGGCAGCAUGGGGGUUGCUUGCCAUCCCCGAUGGCGACCGGCGCACGGGUGAGUAACGCGUAUUCUACCUGCCCUUCACCACGGACUAACCCGGCGAAAGUCGGACUCCUACCGUAUGUUUUCCAUUGACGGCUCCCGAUUUGGACGAAGUGCUUCGGGGAGUGGGAGGGGGAUGCGUGCGAUUUGCGCGACGGCGGGGUAUCGGCCCACCCUGGCUACGAUCGGUAGGGGCGAUGUGAGGGAGGUCCCCCACACUGGAACUGAGACACGGUCCAGACUGCUACGGGAGGCAGCAGUGAGGAAUACUGGUCAAUGGGCGUAAGCCGGAACCAGCCAAGUAGCGUGCAGGAUGACGGCCCUAUGGGUUGUAAACUGCUUUUAAGCGGGGAUAAAGUGGCCAACGGGUGGGCUUUUGCAGGUACCGCAUGAAUAAGGACCGGCUAAUUCCGUG